AGCCUUUAGCAAACAAAGUAUUAAAGGUCUUGCCUGCCCAGUGAAUCAACAGUUUAACGGCCGCGGUAUCCUAACCGUGCAAAGGUAGCGUAAUCACUUGUCUUCCAAAUAGAGACCUGUAUGAACGGCCCCAUGAGGGCCUAACUGUCUCCCUUGGCCACUCAAUGAACCUGAUCUCCCAGUACAAAAGCUGGGAUAAACCCACAAGACGAGAAGACCCCGUGGAGCUUAAGACCCACCACUAUCAAACUCAUAGUGCCUAUCUUCAGUUGGGGCGACUGCGGAAAAAACAAAACCUCCACGCACACCACAACGGUCAACACACCACCGUAUCAAGCACAUGACCCAGUAAAACUGAUUAACGAACCAAGUUACCCCGGGGAUAACAGCGCCAUCCUCUUUUAGAGCCCCUAUCGCCGAGAGGGUUUACGACCUCGAUGUUGGAUCAGGACCCCCAGGUGGUGCAGCCGCUACCAAUGGUUCGUUUGUUCAACGAUUAAAGUCCU
rnacentral:rRNA from 1 species